rnacentral:rRNA from 1 species
GACGAACGCUGGCGGCGUGCCUAAUACAUGCAAGUCGAACGCAGUGGGGACGGGUGAGUAACCCGUGGGUAACCUCCCAUCAGAGGGGAUAACACUUGGAAACAGGUGCUAAACCGAUACUGAUGGAUGAACCCGCGGUGCAUUAGCGAUUUGGUGAGGUAACGGCUCACCAAGGCCACGAUGCAUAGCCGACCUGGGAGGGUGAUCGGCCACACUGGGACUGCGACACGGCCGAGUUUCGAACGGGAGGCAGCAGUAGGGAAUCUUCGGCAAUGGACGAAAGUCGGACCGAGCAAGGCCGCGUGAGUGAAGAAGGUUUUCGGAGCGUAAAAAUCUGUUGUUAGAGAAGCGGUAUCUAACCAGAAAGCCACGGCUAACUACGUGCCAGCAGCCGCGGUAAUUC